ACCUGCCCUAUGAAUAAAUAUUUUUAAAUGGCUGCGGUAAUUUGACCGUGCAAAGGUAGCAUAAUAAUUAGUUUUUUAAUUGGGAACUGGAAUGAAUGGUUGAACGAGAAAAAUACUGUCUCAAUUUAAUAUAAAUUAGAAUUUUAUUUUUAAGUAAAAAAGCUUAAAUAUUCUUAAAAGACGAGAAGACCCUAUAGAGUUUUAUAUUAAUUAUUAUAAUUAAAAAUUUAAGUAUUUAAAAUUUAAUUAUAAUAAUUAAUAUUUAAUUGGGGCGAUUAAAAAAUUUAAUUAACUUUUUUAAAAUUAAACCAUUAAUUUAUGAAUAAAUGAUCCAUAUUUUAUGAUUAAAAGAUU
rnacentral:rRNA from 1 species